CCUACGGGUGGCUGCAGUAGGGAAUAUUGCUCAAUGGGGGAAACCCUGAAGCAGCAACGCCGCGUGGAGGAUGAAGGUUUUCGGAUUGUAAACUCCUUUUGGCAGAGAAGAAAAUGACGGUAUCUAACGAAUAAGCACCGGCUAACUCCGUGCCAGCAGCCGCGGUAAUACGGAGGGGGCAAGCGUUAUGCGGAUUUACUGGGUGUAAAGAGCGCGUAGGCGGGAUGGCAAGUCAGAUGUGAAAGCCUAUGGCUUAACCAUAGAACUGCAUUUGAAACUGUUAUUCUAGAGUAUAGGAGAGGUAGGUGGAAUUCUUGGUGUAGGGGUAAAAUGCGUAGAGAUUAGGAGGAAUACUAGUGGCGAAGGCGACCUGCUAGAACAUAACUGACGCUGAUGCGCGAAAGCGUGGGGAGCAAACAGGAUUAGAUACCCGGGUAGUC
rnacentral:rRNA from 1 species